AAAAACUUAGUAUUCUCUCUCUCUCCCCCCCCUGAAGGUCUCUCUUUCACUCUCUUUUCUCUGCAACAAGGAAGACCAACCCUAAAUCUUCAUUGUUCGAGCUUAAAAAACCUUACCAUUGUGUUCACCUUACCUCCACGAACACAACCAUACCAACCAAACUAAGAAUGGACGAGUUUUGACUCGCCAACUCGGAAGGUUUGAACUCGGACGAGUUGAGUUCGACGUGUUUUCAACCGAGUCACGAUGUUUUAGGACUCGAGAAAGCCUCUACGCAACUCCCUAGGGUCCCUAGUCAAGGUUUGAGUAAGUUUUGACGUGAAACAACUCGGUUUCGAGAAGUUCAAGUUUGACCCAUGCAUUUCGAGCCAAUGUCCGGCCAAACCACAACGAGUUGGCCGGCGUGCAAGUUUCCUGCGAGUUUGACUGCUUUCGAGGCAUUUUACGACCAAACAUGGCGAGUUAGAUGUCGUGCAAGGGGCAAUUAUUAGUAGCGUUUCCAUCUUCGCUAGGUUGCAUGACUCGUCAACGGCAAAGUAUCUGUUUAGUAGCUGUAUUUAUGCAUAUACGAGGAUUCUGGCAAAUCUUAGGAGAUGGUUACCUUCAGUGGCAUUAACAAGCAUCCAAUGCGGAAGAAGAAGCAUUAACUGCGAUCAAAUCCAACUGACAAAAGCAGAAUCUUACCUUAGACAUGGCUGACGGGCACUGCAUUAAGUAGUUUUUGGAGUGGAGCCAACGCUUUUAGAUGUGACCGUUGCUUGCGUUUGCAUGCGCGCGAGGCCGUCGAUGCCUCGAUGGACCAUUUAGCAAGU